rnacentral:rRNA from 1 species
ACCCGCUGAACUUAAGCAUAUCAAUAAGCGGAGGAAAAGAAACCAACAGGGAUUACCUCAGUAACGGCGAGUGAAGCGGUAACAGCUCAAAUUUGAAAUCUGGCUCUUUUAGGGUCCGAGUUGUAAUUUGUAGAAGAUGCUUCGGGUGUGGCUCCGGUCUAAGUUCCUUGGAACAGGACGUCAUAGAGGGUGAGAAUCCCGUAUGUGACUGGUUGCUUUCGCUCAUGUGAAGCUCUUUCGACGAGUCGAGUUGUUUGGGAAUGCAGCUCAAAAUGGGUGGUAAAUUUCAUCUAAAGCUAAAUAUUGGCCAGAGACCGAUAGCGCACAAGUAGAGUGAUCGAAAGAUGAAAAGCACUUUGGAAAGAGAGUUAAACAGUACGUGAAAUUGUUGAAAGGGAAGCGCUUGCAAUUAGACUUGCACGCUGUCGAUCAUCCGAACUUCUGUCCGGUGCACUCGAUUGCGUUCAGGCCAGCAUCGGUUUCGGUGGUGGGAUAAAGGCCUUGGGAAUGUAGCUUCUUUCGGGGAGUGUUAUAGCCCUCGGUGCAAUGCCGCCUACCGGGACCGAGGACCGCGCUUCGGCUAGGAUGCUGGCGUAAUAAUUGUAAGCGACCCGUCUUGAAACACGGACCAAGGAGUCUAACAUCUAUGCGAGUGUUUGGGUGUCAAACCCAUACGCGUAAUGAAAGUGAACGGAGGUGAGAACCCUUAAGGGUGCAUCAUCGACCGAUCCUGAUGUCUUCGGAUGGAUUUGAGUAAGAGCAUAGCUGUUGGGACCCGAAAGAUGGUGAACUAUGCGUGAAUAGGGUGAAGCCAGAGGAAACUCUGGUGGAGGCUCGCAGCGGUUCUGACGUGCAAAUCGAUCGUCAAA